AUGGCGGAGUGGCGCCGGCGCCACCCGGAGGACGUCGCCUACGAGCAAGUCUACUGGGCAGGGCUCGCGAGGAGGACACGCGAAGGCGCCGCGAGGCGCGGUUGGACAGGCGUCGGCGGAAGGCGUUGGCGAACGCGCAGUCCGAUCUCAUUGCAGCAGGUGGGAGGUCGUUCUUCACGGAGAACGAUGAUCGUUGGUUGGACAUAUGGCUAG
rnacentral:rRNA from 1 species